rnacentral:snoRNA from 1 species
AGUUCACGGACACAGGACCUUGUCCCCACAUCUGGAUUUCAAGAUUUGAGCUUAGAGAGCAACUGUAAAU